GACGAACGCUGGCGGCGUGCCUAAUACAUGCAAGUUGAGCGCUGAAGGUUGGUACUUGUACCAACUGGAUGAGCAGCGAACGGGUGAGUAACGCGUGGGGAAUCUGCCUUUGAGCGGGGGACAACAUUUGGAAACGAAUGCUAAUACCGCAUAAAAACUUUAAACACAAGUUUUAAGUUUGAAAGAUGCAAUUGCAUCACUCAAAGAUGAUCCCGCGUUGUACUAGCUAGUUGGUGAGGUAAAGGCUCACCAAGGCGAUGAUACAUAGCCGACCUGAGAGGGUGAUCGGCCACAUUGGGACUGAGACACGGCCCAAACUCCUACGGGAGGCAGCAGUAGGGAAUCUUCGGCAAUGGACGAAAGUCUGACCGAGCAACGUCGCGUGAGUGAAGAAGGGUUUCGGAUCGUAAAACUCUGUUGGUAGAGAAGAACGUUGGUGAGAGUGGAAAGCUCAUCAAGUGACGGUAACUACCCAGAAAGGGACGGCUAACUACGUG
rnacentral:rRNA from 1 species